CCCUUAGAUGUCCUGGGCCGCACGCGCGCUACGCUGACAUGUUCAACAAGCCUCCUAGUUCGACAGGAUUUGGGAAAUCUUUGAACGCAUGUCGUGAUAGGGAUAGAUCAUUGCAAUUAUUGAUCUUGAACGAGGAAUUCCUAGUAAACGCGAGUCAUCAGCUCGCAUUGAUUACGUCCCUGCCCUUUGUACACACCGCCCGUCGCACCUACCGAUUGAAUGUUUCGGUGAAGAUUCCGGAUAGGACUUUUUUGAUUUAUUUCAAUUUUGUCUUAAAAGCUAUCUAAACCUCAUCAUUUAGAGGAAGGUGAAGUCGUAACA
rnacentral:rRNA from 1 species